UACAGAGGGGGCAAGCGUUAUUCGGAAUUAUUGGGCGUAAAGGGCGCGUAGGCGGCUUUUCAAGUGACGGGUGAAAGCCCUCGGCUUAACCGAGGAACUGCCUGUCAGACUGGAAGGCUUGAGACCGGGAGAGGUGAGUGGAAUUCCCAGUGUAGCGGUGAAAUGCGUAGAUAUUGGGAGGAACACCAGUGGCGAAGGCGGACUCACUGGACCGGAACUGACGCUGAGGCGCGAAAGCGUGGGGAGCAAACAGGG
rnacentral:rRNA from 1 species